AGACCAGGAAAGUGAAAGGAAAUGGAUAUCGCUGCUGGAGGCAACGACUAAUUUAAGCAGAGUAGGAGAAAAACUCUUUUUUUUUUUCCUUUGUGCCAGUUCCUUUUACACGACUUCAGAACAUUCUAUGACAACCCAGCGUGCAACUUGGCACUGUCAGAAGAGUCCUGGGAAAGAAAGGAAAUGCGUUUUUCAGAACUUUACUAGGGGUAGUUGAUCCAAAUGGCAUUAUUGGAUGUGGUGGUUUCCGGACACCCACCUGUGACACUGCGGUGACCGGUCUCCUGUCUGGCCUGAAGUGGAUCUGGACCCCACACAGUCCCCAUGUACAGCUGAUACCAGGCUGAAGUGGAUCAGGAGGCUGAGGAACUAAGCCAGUGUCAGGUGGUGCACCAGGCUGCCCAAGUGGAGGCUUAGAUGAACACAGGAUGAUUAUGGAGCAAUACUUGAAGCCCAAAUGAAGCUCUGAACCCGGAGACUUCUCAAAACCUGUCAUCAAUGCUCUAACUCUUCUGUGGCCACCUCCUUCUACUGGAGUUUAGCCAGGUUCCAACUCUAUGGGUAUAUCUCAGUCAUUUAGCAUCUGCUCUAUCUUUGAGGCUGAGUUUCCAGAAGACCUGAUUCAACCAGAAGCAAAAGACAGUAGCCAAGAAGAUGGCAUAGCAUAAGAAUCUUGGAAAUUGAUAAAAACAUCCCAGAGAUAUCCAACAAAAUUAGUAACUAUGUGAAGAGAUUCUGUAAUAUUGGGUCUAUUGGGCUCUGUGGGAAGGUAUUCCCUUUGGAAAUGACUGAAAUGGAAAUUUUGAACCACUUUCAAUGAUAC
rnacentral:lncRNA from 1 species